GAUGAACGCUAGUUACAGGCUUAACACAUGCAAGUCGAGGGGAAACGAUGAGAGAGCUUGCUCUCUUAGUCGUCGACCGGCGCACGGGUGAGUAACGCGUAUCCAACCUGCCUCUGACCAAGGGAUAACCCGUCGAAAGUCGGACUAAUACCUUAUGCAGUCGUCGGAAGUCAUCUGAUGACGACGAAAGAUUUCAUCGGUGAGAGAUGGGGAUGCGUCUGAUUAGCUUGUUGGCGGGGUAACGGCCCACCAAGGCGACGAUCAGUAGGGGUUCUGAGAGGAAGGUCCCCCACAUUGGAACUGAGACACGGUCCAAACUCCUACGGGAGGCAGCAGUGAGGAAUAUUGGUCAAUGGGCGUAAGCCUGAACCAGCCAAGUAGCGUGCAGGAUGACGGCCCUAUGGGUUGUAAACUGCUUUUAUGCGGGGAUAAAGUGAGGGACGUGUCCUUCAUUGCAGGUACCGCAUGAAUAAGGACCGGCUAAUUCCGUG
rnacentral:rRNA from 1 species